UGGGAGGGAGGCAGAAAAGUGUUCUUAUAUAUAGGCCUGGAGGACAGACAUGUUCCACACUUGCUUGUGCCUUGCUUAACUUUAAAGCAGAACAGACAAACGUGCUGAACUUCCAGGUCACGCGAAGGAAGUAAAACUGCACUCAGUGGAGUUAGAACCCAAUAUAAGACAUAUAACAUACACCCUGACUGAUAAGAAAGGCAUAAACGUUUCCUUAUUUCAUAGAGAAUGAUGAAAUAUAAAGUAAAACUGAAGAGAAAUGAUGCAUUGAAAGCUGUUUGUCCUUGAAUUCAGCCUUUGACACAAGUCCUUUGGCUUACGAGUCUGGAAUCGCCGGAAAAAAGCGUUAUUGUUUCCUAUGUUACUUAGACUUCAUGGUUUUUUUAUAAACUAAAAGAAGUGAUACUAGAAAUUUUGUCUUAGAUGGAU
rnacentral:misc_RNA from 1 species